CAGCUAGUUGGUGGGGUAAUGGCCCACCAAGGCGACGAUCAGUAGCUGGUCUGAGAGGAUGAUCAGCCUCACUGGGACUGAGACACGGCCCAGACUCCUACGGGAGGCAGCAGUGGGGAAUAUUGGACAAUGGGCGCAAGCCUGAUCCAGCCAUGCCGCGUGGGUGAUGAAGGCCCUAGGGUUGUAAAGCCCUUUCGGCGGGGAAGAUAAUGACGGUACCCGCAGAAGAAGCCCCGGCUAACUUCGUGCCAGCAGCCGCGGUAAUACGAAGGGGGCUAGCGUUGCUCGGAAUCACUGGGCGUAAAGCGCACGUAGGCGGAUUGCUAAGUCAGGGGUGAAAUCCUGGAGCUCAACUCCAGAACUGCCUUUGAUACUGGCGAUCUCGAAUCCGGGAGAGGUGAGUGGAACUCCC
rnacentral:rRNA from 1 species